CCCACGACGCCAAGACUGCCGCCCCUCCCUCCUAUGUACGGUGUUAGGUGUUCUCUCCCCUUCACGAGAUUUCCUCUUCCAUGAUCUCUUGCACCGUAUGAUGGAUCAAGAAACUAGUUGCAAAAACGGAAUGAGAAGGAGGGGAGGAACAAGAGGAGUGGUGAAUUGGUGUUUCCCAUCAUCUUUAUUUUUGUUCUCCAUAAAACCCUAGGUUGUGGUGCUCCGGAUAAUGCUUGGUAUCGUCUCUUCGUUGUUCGAGGCAAGUAAACGUAGCGGUGGUUUGCUACAGCUUUGACUUGUUAUUUGAUUCUACCUCCACUUUGAAAUUAUAUAUCAUCAACCAAGAUAUUAUUAUAUGUUACACAGAGGAUUUACCUAUUUGAAUCAUACUCAUUGAUUUUACACUGUUUAUGGUUAUACUUUAUGCUCUUGGUUAUAAUAACCUUAUACUGAUCUGCAUCGAAGGAAUGUAGUUCCGAUGUUAUACUCUGGAAUUCAUACUGCAUUUGCAUCACUUGCAUUGCAUUUGAAGUUAUGUCGUGAACCUAUGGUUGCGACCGUACCGGUACAACAUCGUAUAUUGCCGUAAUAUGAUGCAGCUUCACACCGGUGUGAAGGCAGGAGUACAUAUCAUUGCAUUGCAUAUGCACAUAUUGCAAGAUGUUAUGAGAAUUAUCGAUCGAAGAUAUCUUUGAGAAGUGUUUUCUUCUCUGGGAUUUGUGAGUAUAUGGAUUUUAUUGGUGACGCUAUGAUGUUUUAGUCCUUGCAUAUUGAACUUGUCUUUAUGUGAAUCAUAUCUUGGUAUUUAAUUAGUUAUAUAAUAAACGUGUGGCUUAAAUAGCUUGUUAAAGCCGUUUGCUUGCUGAGAUUUAUUCUCACUCCCUUAUAGUCUUUUCAGGUACUUGUUGUGAUAUGUUUGCAUGAAGGGAUGGGAUUAGCUUCACUGUUGCACGAUAUGAUCUCACUUAGUCAUGAUUAUUGUAAUAUGUUGAUAAGAUUACUUGUGUUUAGAUAUAAUGGGUUAAUUAUUUAGUAGAGUUGUCGACCAUUGAUCAGCUACUUUUUCAAGGCUAUCCCUACAUGUCAGUUAGUUGUUGUAUCAUAACCUUAAUCUAUAUGUUGAUGCUUCCGUGAUGUUUUCUUGUC